AUCAUGCAGAUAAAUUGCCCCUCCUGAUAUUGGUGGUUGCAGAAAUAAUAUGAAGCCCAGAACCUCUGCCCCUAGGACAAGAGUGUAGUAUACGUUCCUUGAGGGGCUGUUGAAGACUUGGUAAAAACAGUAGAACUUGUAAAUGUUGUUUAUAGAUGCUAAUGCACUUUUAUCGAAUUGGGUCAUUUAUGUCUCUCCAAGUUUAUGGGAAUUCCAACAGUCCUCCAGGGCAAAGAUAUGCGGGAGAAAAAAAGAAGACAAAUAACUUUCAACAUAUUUAGUCUCAAAAUUGUGCUUGGGGAACUACUUCUUCAUUUAUCGUCCAGGUGGCACCACCCAGAAAAAACUGGAGCAUAAAUACAUAUUCACCAGGAACCCCUAUGGACCUGCUGCCUUGUGGAGUCCUGGAAUGAAGUCAGGAUGACAGUUUGUGAGGCUCAUAGAUCUGUAAGG